AUUGAACGCUAGCGGGAUGCUUUACACAUGCAAGUCGAACGGAGUGCCGAACGGGGGAGGAAUGUAAAGGAACGUGCACAGUAGCGAGGGAUAACUACGCGAAAGCGUAGCUAAUACCGCAAACUCUCGGAGCGGCCGAUAACGGAGUAGCAUGUUGGUGAGGUAACGGCUCACCAAGGCGACGAUCCGUAGCUGGUUUGAGAGGAUGACCAGCCACACUGGGACUGAGACACGGCCCAGACUCCUACGGGAGGCAGCAGUGGGGAAUAUUGUACAAUGGGGGCAACCCUGAUCCAGCCAUCCCGCGUGUGCGAUGAAGGCCUUCGGGUUGUAAAGCACUUUUGGCAGGAAAGCGGUACCUGCAGAAUAAGCACCGGCUAACUACGUGCCAGCAGCCGCGGUAAUUC
rnacentral:rRNA from 1 species